GAAAAACCAAUGCCAGCAUGGCCAUAAAACACUACAUACAAAUCGAAAUCUAAAAAGCGCGGAACUUUCAUAUAUUUUCCGUCGGAGCAAUUAUUUUUCAACCCUGUAGAAAAAGCGGGCUCAAUUAAUCGCGCGGAACGUUAUUUAUCUACUCUGUACAAAUAGUAGUGUUUAAAAUCGCGCGGAGAUUGUAGAAUGCUAUUUUAAGAAGUCUAUUAAAGAGAGAAAAUCCAGUAAAUACCAGAUCCAAAAAGCGCGGAACACAAAUAUCGUCCGCGAAAAUUAAGCAUUGAAUUACUGUACAAAUCUCGGGUUGUUAGGUGUUAGAAUCCCUAGUUACCCGAAAAAUUUGAUUGGAUCCGAUACUUAGAAAUAACCAAUCAGAUACUUUGUAACAAAUGCAACACAAUCAGUGCGUUCAGUAAGUAUAACGUUUCAAGAUGGCGGAGCGAAUUGCAUGGUUAUUGUUUCUACUCGAUGGAUUCGCAGAUAAUUCGGAAAUAGAUCAGAUUGGGAUCAAUAACUGUAUUGCAUACGAUCAUUUACAUGUGUGUGUUGCCAGUAAUGGUUGAAGAUAUGCCAAACAAAUUGUGCCUCUCUAUACAGACAGAUUUCAGGUCUCAAUUUCGACUUCAAAGGUCAACAUAUCACUGAUAUCAGGAAUUCUGUACAACUGUGGAACCAUGUAUGGUACGUGACCGCACAAUGUUGGUUGGCAAAAGGAUAUUGGAAUAAGCAAAGGGACUCAACAUUACACAGUCAUUUCAACAUGUAGAGUCUUGUCAGCAAUGAUGGAGCAGUACUUCAGAUUUCCAGAAUCUCGUCAUGAGCUGAAGAUCAUUGCCUAUGGAUUUCAUGAAUGAUGUAGAAUGAUUGGACUGUUGAUGGAACCCACAGUGCAUGUCCUGCUUCAACAUCUGAGCAUAGGUCCUUGUUUAUCAGCAGUUUAGUUCUUCAAGCAGUCUGUGACAGUAACUUGAAAUGUUUGGACAUAUGACCUGGAUGGCCAAGUUCUGUGCAUGAUGCCCAUUUAAAUAGGAACGGCCCAGUGGCGCAUUAAAUGGACAUUUUUCGAAUGUUCUCGAGGAUUCAGCUUACCGCCUGACAAGAAAUCUUGCUUUUUGUUCAGUAUCGAGGCCAUGGACAUUUGUAUCAUUUGCAAAAGAUACUGCGAUAUUUGUGCCUUUGUUCAUGCUUUAUAGUUGAUUAACAAUUGGAAGCCAUAACCUGUUUUAUAGGAUGGUGUUAGUGGGACAAUGAAUUUUGUAAAGAUUUAAAGACUGGAAAAGAUAAUUAAAAGUCAAAAGAGUUCUGCUAUUGUUAAGCAUGCUUUAUUGAUUUGUAAUGUUAGAAAGAUAGCAUUAUUAACAGAAUAAAAUGUCCAUAAUUUGAA